rnacentral:rRNA from 1 species
UACGUAGGCAGCGAGCGUUGUUCGGAGUUACUGGGCGUAAAGGGUGUGUAGGCGGUUAUUUAAGUUUGGUGUGAAAUCUCCCGGCUCAACUGGGAGGGUGCGCCGAAUACUGAGUGACUAGAGUGCGGGAGAGGAAAGUGGAAUUCCUGGUGUAGCGGUGAAAUGCGUAGAUAUCAGGAAGAACACCUAUGGCGAAGGCAGCUCUCUGGGACGGUACUGACGCUGAGACGCGAAAGCGUGGGGAGCGAACAGG